UGGUUGAUCCUGCCAGUGGUAUAUGCUUGUCUCAAGGACUAAGCCAUGCAAGUGUAAGUAUGAGUGAAUUAUACAACGAAACUGCGAAUGGCUCGGUAAAACAGCUAUAGUUUCUUCGAUGGUAACUCUACUCGGAUAACCGUAGUAAUUCUAGAGCUAAUACGUGCCACAAGCGACUUUUGUCGCGGUAUAAAUUGGAGAUACAAACCAAUAUUUGGUGAUUCACGAUUUCUUUUCUGAUCGCACAUUGUGCGACGCAUCGUUCAAAUUUCUGACCUAUCAACUUUGGAUGGUAAGGUAUUGUCUUACCAUGGUUGUGACGGGUAACGGACCGUGGGUGCGGGACUCCGGAGAGGGAGCCUGAGAAACGGCUACCACAUCCAAGGAAGGCAGCAGGCGCGCAAAUUACCCAAUCCGGACACCGGGAGGUAGUGACAAGAAAUAGCAAUAGAGGGCCCAAUGGGUUUUCUAAUUGGAAUGAGAACAAGGUAAACAGCUUANNNNNNNNNNNNNAGAGGGCAAGUCUGGUGCCAGCAGCCGCGGUAAUUCCAGCUCUGUAAGCGUAUACCAAAGUUGUUGCAGUUAAAACGCUCGUAGUCGGAAUUUGGUGGGCGACGCAGGGCGUCUUUGCGGACGGAUCUGUAUCGGCCGCCUUUGUGGAUGGGGGCUUAGUGGUGCUUUAUUGCUUUGCUAAGUCGCUGCCACCGUUUACUGUGAAAAAAUUGGAGUGUUCAAAGCAGGCGUUUGCCUUGUACACAUUAGCAUGGAAUAAUAGAAUAGGACCUGGUUCUGUUUUGUUGGUUUGUGAGAAUUAGGUAAUGAUUAAGAGGGACGGUUGGGGGCAUUUGUAUUCUGCCGUCAGAGGUGAAAUUCUUAGAUUGGCGGAAGACAAACAGCUGCGAAAGCGUCUGCCAAGGACGUUUUCAUUGAUCAAGAACGAAAGUAAGGGGAUCGAAGACGAUCAGAUACCGUCGUAGUCUUUACUAUAAACGAUGAGGACUGGGGAUCGGGCGGCGCUGCUUUAUGGCCCGCCCGGCACCCUUCGGGAAACCAAAGUGUUUGCUUUCUGGGGGGAGUAUGGUCGCAAGGCUGAAACUUAAAGGAAUUGACGGAAGGGCAUCACCGGGUGUGGAGCCUGCGGCUUAAUUUGACUCAACACGGGGAAACUUACCAGGUCCGGACAUAGUGAGGAUUGACAGAUUNNNNNNNNNNNNNNNNNNNNNNNNNNNNNNNNNNNNNNNNNNNNNNNNNNNNNNNNNNNNNNNNNCUGGUUAAUUCCGUUAACGAGCGAGACCUGGGCGUGCUAGCUAGGCGCUGUUACCCCUUUAGGUAGCGAGGCUUGCCUUCCUAGACGGACUGCGGGCGUCUAGUCCGCGGAAGCUCCAGGCAAUAACAGGUCUGAGAUGCCCUUAGAUGUUCUGGGCCGCACGCGUGCUACACUGAGCGGGUCAACGGGUGAGGAUAGGCGAGAGCUUUUCCUAAUCUCUAAAUCCGCUCGUGCUGGGGAUCGAGGCUUGCAAUUUUCCCUCUUGAACGAGGAAUACCUUGUAAGCGCGGGUCAUCAUCCCGUGCUGAAUACGUCCCUGCCCUUUGUACACACCGCCCGUCGCUCCUACCGAUUGAGUGGUCCGGUGAAGCCUUGGGAGGGCUAGUCGGAUUGUGUCUACACAGACCAUCUGGCCCAAACUUGGUCAAACCUUAUCA
rnacentral:rRNA from 1 species